ACGAUGUCGAUUUGAGUUUGGGGGCAUGACCCUUGGGCUCCGGAGCUAACGCGUUAAAUCGACGCUGGGGAGUACGGCCGCAAGGUUAAAACUCAAAUGAAUUGACGGGGGCCCGCACAGCGGUGGAGCAUGUGGUUUAAUUCGAUGCAACGCGAAGAACCUUACCUGGUCUUGACAUCCAUAGAAUCUUUCAGAGAUGAGAGAGUGCCUUCGGGAGCUAUGAGACAGGUGCUGCAUGGCUGUCGUCAGCUCGUGUUGUGAAAUGUUGGGUUAAGUCCCGCAACGAGCGCAACCCCUAUCCUUUGUUGCCAGCACGUAAUGGUGGGAACUCAAAGGAGACUGCCGUUGAUAAAGCGGAGGAAGGUGGGGACGACGUCAAGUCAUCAUGGCCCUUACGACCAGGGCUACACACGUGCUACAAUGGCGUAUACAAAGGGGUGCGAAGGUGCGAACUGGAGCGGACCUCACAAAGUACGUCUAAGUCCGGAUUGGAGUCUGCAACUCGACUCCAUGAAGUCGGAAUCGCUAGUAAUCGUGAAUCAGAAUGUCACGGUGAAUACGUUCCCGGGCCUUGUACACACCGCCCGUCACACCAUGGGAGUGGGUUGCACCAGAAGUAGAUAGCUUAACCUUCGGGAGGGCGUUUACCACGGUGUGGUUCAUGACUGGGGUGAAGUCGUAACAAGGUAACCA
rnacentral:rRNA from 1 species